AACGCACAUUGCGCCCAUUAGUAUUCUAGUGGGCAUGCCUGUUCGAGCGUCAUUUCGACCAUUCAAGCCCUGGUUGCUUGGUGUUGGGAGCUUGUCCUCGGACAACUCCUCAAAAGCAUUGGCGGAGUCGCGGUGGCCCCAAGCGUAGUAAUUCUUCUCGCUUCCGGUGUGUCACGGCUGGCGUCUGGCCGUUAAACCCCCCCAUUUUUCAGUGGUUUGACCUCGGAUCAGGUAGGAAUACCCGCUGAACUUAA
rnacentral:misc_RNA from 1 species